CACGUAGGGCGCAAGCGUUGUCCGGAAUUAUUGGGCGUAAAGAGCUCGUAGGCGGUCUGUUGCGUCCGCUGUGAAAACCCGGGGCUUAACCCCUGGCUUGCAGUGGAUACGGACAGACUAGAGGUAGGUAGGGGAGAAUGGAAUUCCCGGUGUAGCGGUGAAAUGCGCAGAUAUCAGGAGGAACACCGAUGGCGAAGGCAGGUCUCUGGGCCAUAACUGACGCUGAGAAGCGAAAGCAUGGGGAGCGAACAGG
rnacentral:rRNA from 1 species